UACCUGGUCUUGACAUCCACAGAACUUUCCAGAGAUGGACUGGUGCCUUCGGGAACUGUGAGACAGGUGCUGCAUGGCUGUCGUCAGCUCGUGUUGUGAAAUGUUGGGUUAAGUCCCGCAACGAGCGCAACCCUUAUCCUUUGUUGCCAGCGAUUAGGUCGGGAACUCAAAGGAGACUGCCAGUGAUAAACUGGAGGAAGGUGGGGAUGACGUCAAGUCAUCAUGGCCCUUACGACCAGGGCUACACACGUGCUACAAUGGCGCAUACAAAGAGAAGCGACCUCGCGAGAGCAAGCGGACCUCAUAAAGUGCGUCGUAGUCCGGAUUGGAGUCUGCAACUCGACUCCAUGAAGUCGGAAUCGCUAGUAAUCGUGGAUCAGAAUGCCACGGUGAAUACGUUCCCGGGCCUUGUACACACCGCCCGUCACACCAUGGGAGUGGGUUGCAAAAGAAGUAGGUAGCUUAACCUUCGGGAGGGCGCUUACCACUUUGUGAUUCAUGACUGGGGUGAAGUCGUAACAAGGUAACCGUAGGGGAACCUGCGGUUGGAUCACCUCCUUACCUUAAAGAAGC
rnacentral:rRNA from 1 species